ACAGGUGAAGAAGCCGGCUGGGUAUUAAUGAAUGAUUUUGGUUUUAGAUACCUUAAGAUGUGAUUCCUUCAGAACAAUAGCUUGGAGCUCAUCAAGAUAUCCACUUGCCCAAAUCUGUAGUCCCCAGGCCUCUGGAGCAAGGCCUGCUGCCCUGGGUGUCUUGGCAGUUGUUCAAGCACGACUGGAAUCUGGCUCAGCAUUAGGCCAAGUGAGCACAGAGCCUUGCACUGCUGCAUAUUUAAAAUUACUUGUCAGGAAAAGGAGCUACAGAGAAGGACUGUGGCGGGGGAAGGCAAACAUCCUCACCGUUCAAUAAUUCAGCGCAGAGCCGGUCUUGGCUGCUGAGUUACCGUCACAAGGAGCAUUUUUAAAGUCAAACCCAAUUUCCGUGCGAAGUCAUGCCUGAGCAAGCUGGAUCGUUGCCAAAAGACAAGAGAAGACUCCAGACCUUUCUAUAAACAGGCCCUGAGAGAUACGGGGUACUGCAUGAUAAAGCUGUCAGUCUGGUCGCAGCAGCCUGGCAUGUGACUCAUUUGCAUAUGUCACUUCCUUUAGCGUAAUCCAGUCCAUGGGCCUCUAACUUCCAGUCCUGUGGGCAAAUAAAGCCAUCCAGUACAACCUUCGACUAUCAGAUUCAGGCCGUAUUUAUGGGGGGUGGGGUCUGGCCUCAUAUCCUUCAUCUUUAUGCUGCUCUGCUCCAGCUCACAGCCCCUCCAGUUGGAUGGAACUCUUUGAAGGGAGGGGCAUUUCAGAGUAGGGUUCCAGGGAUAGCCCCUUUGUGGGGCUGGGCCAGCAGGUUGGGGAGAGUGGAGCUGCUGGAACUCUGGAGGGACUGGCUGCGCCAGCUUUCCUAGCGCACCCCUCUGGGAGGGCAGACUCUGGGUGUGGGCUGCCCAUCUCCUUGCUCCCCUCUAGCCCUGCUUCUAUGCCCCCUUGGUUAGCCUGGGAGCCCAUCCUACCCAGUCUUGGGGUCAAUAAGCCGAGGACCUGUAAGGAGUCCUUGAUGGGACGUACAGCCCUGCCCAACCCUGCACAAGGUAGGGUAUUGAUGUUUGUUGAGUGGUGAGCUGCCUGCUUAUGGCUGGGUUCGGGCCUCCAUCUAUUUUUUUUUUUCUUUGAAUUGGACUCUGGGCAAAGCUUCUCCCAGCAGGAGGAAUCUGGCUUGGGUGCUCCAGCUUCUCUCACCUGCCUGGCCUCCCAAGAGCUACAGAGCUCCACAUUUCAGCUCCUCUAUAACCCAUUAGCAGAGCUAGCAGCUAGCAGAAACUAGGAAUAAUAAAAAUGUGCCAUAUUUUUACAAGCUGGGUGCCAGGCUUGGUGGUCAGGACACAGACUGCUUUCAGCUCCCACAUGGGCCUCCUGCUAGCUGCUUUGCGCAGAGCACUGGCUACAUGGCUGCAGGGGAGAGCCCUGCCUGUGAACAGGCUACCAGGUUGCUGGGACACACCAUUUGAUAACCCAUGGGCUCUUGAGAGCAGGGAUUGUGACUUACUCAUCUAUGAUGUAGCCAAGUUCUAACAAACCUAAAUGUGCAGCGCCUGCCCUGCAGAAGAUUCCUCAUUCAGCCGCAUCCUCACCGGGACUGUCAUCAGCUCUGCCUCCCACCGAGGGUCUCCCACUGACCUCCUCCCUCAACUUCCCAAAUUCCACCGCUUCAAAGUUGUUUGCCGAGCCUGGGUCUCCCCUCCGUGUACUGUGAUUUGGGGAAAGGACUUGAGGUUUCCAAUAGUCACUCACCUCUGUCCUCACUUGCUCUUUCUAAUGAGAAGGUGCCAUAGACCUUGAGAAAGUGAGCAGGGAUUUACCAGGAGGACAAAGGGAAAACCUUAUUCCAGGAAGAGGAAAUAGCCAAUGCAAAGGCCCAAGGAAGAAAAAGAAGUGAAAAACAAAAACGAAAACAAAGCAAAACAAAACAAACAACAAAAAAGGCCAGCAACCUGGUAUGACAUGGGGUGGUGGGAGCCUGGGGGACAGGGCUGAAAUCCUUGCCUUGAAAAUAAUUUUACAGAGAAUCAUCAAAAUAUCUUUGGGUAAGACUGUUAUUGAUUAGCUCUGUGUUUGUAUUGUAUUCUUCCGUUCACAGACAAAGGGCUAGUCUUGAAAUCAAUAAAAACAUUGAUGAGAAAAAAUAAGAAGAAACUGAUUGUUAAAAGUAGCCAAAGACCCAUAGAAUGAGUAAAAGAUAUGAUUAGAAGUUCACAGAGUCUGAGUGUGGUUGCUCACCCCUAUAAUCCCAGCACUUUAGAAGGAUCGCUUGAGCCCAGGAGUUCAAGACCAGCCUGGGCAACAGAGCAAG